UACGUAGGUAGCAAGCGUUGUCCGGAUUUAUUGGGUUUAAAGGGUGCGUAGGCGGCCCCGUAAGUCAGUGCUGAAAUAUCCCGGCUUAACCGGGAGGGUGGCAUUGAUACUGCAGGGCUUGAGUAAAGUUGAGGUAGGCGGAAUUGACGGUGUAGCGGUGAAAUGCUUAGAUAUCGUCAAGAACACCGAUAGUGUAGACAGCUUACUAAGCUUUAACUGACGCUGAGGCACGAAAGUGUGGGGAUCAAACAGG
rnacentral:rRNA from 1 species